UACGGGGGGAGCAAGCGUUGUUCGGAUUUACUGGGCGUAAAGGGCGCGUAGGCGGCCACCGCAAGUCGAUUGUGAAAUCUCCGGGCUUAACCCGGAAAGGUCAACCGAUACUGCGGGGCUAGAGUGCGGAAGGGGCAACUGGAAUUCUUGGUGUAGCGGUGAAAUGCGUAGAUAUCAAGAGGAACACCUGCGGCGAAGGCGGGUUGCUGGGCCGACACUGACGCUGAGGCGCGAAAGCUAGGGGAGCGAACGGG
rnacentral:rRNA from 1 species